GCCGUCAAAAAGGCAAUUUGGUCACUUGAAAAGAUACAGAGAAGAUUAGCAUGGCCCCUGCACUAAGGAUGACACGCUAUACAGAGAGAGUAUACCUCAAUUU
rnacentral:snRNA from 1 species